UACGUAGGGGGCAAGCGUUGUUCGGAUUCAUUGGGCGUAAAGGGUGCGUAGGCGGCGCGGUAAGUCGGGUGUGAAAUCUCGGAGCUUAACUCCGAAACUGCAUUCGAUACUGCCGUGCUUGAGGACUGGAGAGGAGACUGGAAUUUACGGUGUAGCGGUGAAAUGCGUAGAUAUCGUAAGGAAGACCAGUGGCGAAGGCGGGUCUCUGGACAGUUCCUGACGCUGAGGCACGAAGGUCAGGGGAGCAAACAGG
rnacentral:rRNA from 1 species